rnacentral:rRNA from 1 species
UACGGAGGGGGCUAGCGUUGUUCGGAAUUACUGGGCGUAAAGCGCACGUAGGCGGCUUUGUGAGUUAGAGGUGAAAGCCCGGGGCUCAACUCCGGAAUUGCCUUUAAGACUGCAUCGCUCGAAUUGUGGAGAGGUAAGUGGAAUUCCGAGUGUAGAGGUGAAAUUCGUAGAUAUUCGGAAGAACACCAGUGGCGAAGGCGACUUACUGGACACAUAUUGACGCUGAGGUGCGAAAGCGUGGGGAGCAAACAGG